rnacentral:lncRNA from 1 species
CCCUCCCUCCGUUCGGUUCUCCGCGCAGCCGUGGGAUCUCGAGGAGGGCGUCCAUUAGGCCGCGUGUGACCAUGUAAGGUUCCUGGUGCUGGUUCCAGCAGAAUAGACACAGAGAUGCAUGGCCUAACUCCCACUCCCUCUUCAGGACUGAGCCACGCAGCCCCCCAUCUGCCAGAAGUGUUAGCUGUUGACGGCUCACAGCUGAGUCCCUCUCCAGGCAUUGCUGAAAAGAGCCACCUUGCUCUAGGAUGUGCCCCCACCCUGGGGGCAGCAUACAUUCCAAGUGAUUAGUCCAUAGUGUGGUACAAAGGUUGUACCCAUCUUGCCUGAAUUCAGGAUCUCUUGGAAAACCACCCCAGCUCUGCAGCUCCUGGUGGGGUGCUGAGGCCUCUGCUGCAGCUGCAUCGCAGUUUACUUUCCCCUCUGCCUAGUCCUGCUGCCUUCACUCCCCAACAGAUCACCCGCUCUGAACAUGCCAUCUACUGUGGAAAUCUUCAAUCUUUAAUUAAUUUUUCCUGUUACAGGAAGAUUAAGUCUAAAAGGGUAUCUCCCCUAGUUGAUCCAGAACUAAAUAACAUUGUUUUCAGUACUUCCAGUAACUUGCUUACACUCUUACUUCUAAAGCAUUGAAUGUAUCAUCUUAUGUGCUUGUCACCCCCAGCUUGUGUCAUAGGAGAAAGUAUACGGAGAUCAGGUACAACUUCAGUUCAACAGCUUAUGAGCUAUUGGAUCAGUCUCCUUAUUAAUCUCUCAGAGCCUCAAUUUCCUUGUUUAAAAUGGGGGCAAUACCUACCUUAAGGAAUUUCUUGAGGAUCAAAAGAAACCCUAGUAACAAAGCCUUGAACCAUGUCUGACUUAUAGUAUAUAUUCUAACUGCAAGUUCUUUUCAUGUCUUGUCCAUGAAUUCUUCAUUCAUUCAUUCAUUCAUUCAUCCAACAACCAAGCAUUCACUGAUGCUCCAAUUGUGCAAGACACUGUUUUAGGCCUUGAGAAUACAAACUGCACAAGCAGGACAAUGUAACCAGUGUUAUGCAGGGUCUGGUCUAGUGGGAGGAGAAGACAGUGACCAUGGCCCAUGAUGAGUGACAGAAUGAAAAGUAAUCAGGAAGAUAUGAUAGGAAAUACAGGGAGAAUGGGAGAGUCUGCUUUAUGUUGCAUAAUCAGAGGGCAGCUCUGGACAGGCAAAAUUUGAGCUGAGACCUAAAUGACAAGGAGUGAAGCCAAUGGAACAUCUGAAAGAAUAGUUUUCUAGAAAGAGAGCCCAGCUAGUGUGAGCCCUAAAGUAGGUAGAAAAUGGGCUUGGAGGGUUUUAUAUGAGGAGCAGCGGGAAGUAGGCAGAGGCCUGGUCAUUGUAGGUCAUGUUGGCUAGAGUAAAGAGCUUGUGUUUGAUUCUCAGGGCAAUGAAGAGCCUUUGGAGAAUUUAAAGCAAAGUGGGGAGGGGGAACAAGAGCUGAUUUACAUUAUUCUGAACAGCACCAGGAGGGAUAGUACUGGAUAAUAAGAGUGGUAAAAGGAGACCAUUUAGGAGGUUAUAGCAAUUGUCCAGGGUGGCCUGGCCUGCCACGGUAGCCACAGAGACGGUGAGAGGUGAGGAGGUGCCAGGUACCGUCAUGGGAGACAUAAUGACAUUCGAUCAAUGCUGAACUACAUAUAUGACGGUGGUACCAUGAGAUUAUAAUGGAGCUGAAAAAUUCCCAUCACCUAGUGACCUCGUAGCUGCUGGAACAUUGCAGGGCAAUGCAUACACACAUGUAUGUGGUGAUAGUGGUGCACACAAACCUACUAUGCUGCCAGUCCUAUAAAAGUGUAGCACACAGGAUUAUGUACAGUACAUAACACUUGAUAAUGAUAACAAAUGACUAGGUUACUGGUUUAUGCAUUUACCAUACUAUACUUUUAUCGUUAUUUUAGAGAGUACUCCCUCUACUUAUUUAAUAAAUAUAGUUAACUGUAAAACAGCCUCAGGCAGGUCGUUCAGGAGGUAUUCUAAAGAAGGCA